rnacentral:rRNA from 1 species
UCGACGGCCGUGAUUCGAGCCGGACUCGCGGUGCAUCUAGAUUAAUGGAAUGGCUCAUUACAACAGUUAUUGUUUAUUUGAUACAUUAAAUGGAUAACUGUAGAAAAACUAGAGCUAAUACAUGCUUAAACCGUAAGGUUGUAUUUAUUAGAUAUUCCGGAUUGGUGAAUCAUAAUAACUUCGCAAAUCUCGUUUAUGACGAGAUAAAUCAUCCAAGUUUCUGCCCUAUCAUGCUUUCGAUGGUAGUGUAUUGGACUACCAUGGCUUUCACGGGUAACAGGGUUUUAGGGCCCGAUUCUGGAGAAGGAGCCUGAGAAACGGCUACUACAUCUACGGAAGGCAGCAGGCGCGUAAAUUACCCAAUCCUGACUCAGGGAGGUGGUGACAAGAUAUAACAACGCAAUUUCAUUGUGAUUGUAGUGAGGGUAUUCCAAACCGAACCACUAGUACGAUUAGAGGGCAAGUCUGGUGCCAGCAGCCGCGGUAAUUCCAGCUCUAAUAGCGUAUAUUAAAGUUGCUGCAGUUAAAAGCUCGUAGUUGGAUUUCAAGGAUUGUAAACCCUCCGGGGAAUACAUCCUACUAGUCUUCGGACUGUUACUGUGAGAAAUUAGGUGUUUCAGCAGGCUUUCCCAGAAUACAUUAGCAUGGAAUAACGAAUGUAUUUUGAAACUCUGGUUAAUUCCUAUCAGAUUACAACACGUUGGGGGGCUUUUAUAUUAUUAUGUGAGAAGAGAUAUACUCGGGGGGUGUGUA